CGGCAACAGCUCAAUUUGAAAUCUGGCCCUUUUGGGGGUCCGAGUUGUAAUUUGUAGAGGGUGCUUUGGCGUUGGCUGUGGUCUAAGUUCCUUGGAACAGGACGUCCCAGAGGGUGAGAAUCCCGUAUGUGGCCGCCAGUCUUCGCCGUGUAAAGCCCCUUCGACGAGUCGAGUUGUUUGGGAAUGCAGCUCUAAAUGGGAGGUAAAUUUCUUCUAAAGCUAAAUAUUGGCCACAGACCGAUAGCGCACAAGUAGAGUGAUCGAAAGAUGAAAAGCACUUUGGAAAGAGAGUCAAAAAGCACGUGAAAUUGUUGAAAGGGAAGCGCUUGCAGCCAGACUUGCUUGCAGUUGUUUAGCUAGGCUUUUGCCUGGUGUACUCUUCUGCAUGCAGGCCAGCAUCANUCCGGGCGGUUGGAUAAAGGCCUAUUAAACGUACCUCCCUUCGGGGAGGACUUAUAGGGUAGGUGCCAUGCAACCAGCCUGGAUUGAGGUCCGCGCAUCUGCU
rnacentral:rRNA from 1 species